UAAACCAAUCACUGAUUAACAGGUUGUCCGCUGAUGUUUAGACCCUUUUCGAUUUUCAUCUCUUUCAGAAAAAUCACAAGGCUAUCGAUAUUGUCCAUCUUCCCUAAUGAAUCAUCGUUUUGUUGCUUCAACAGUAUCAAAUGGUAAGCAUGAAUGACGUUUGCGGAAUAAGAAGGUAGAAAGAUGCUAAAACGGGACGUUGUUAGGGUGAUUAAGAGGAGAUUUCAUUUACCAAAACCAUCUGAAACGUGGCGGAAUGCCCCAAAAGAGAAAGCGGAGUGCGUCGUGAUCGGAGCCGGAAUCGUGGGACUGGCAGUGGCCAGAGAGCUGUCGUUGAAGGGGAAAGAGGUUUUGGUCCUGGACUCUGCUCCCACCUUCGGAACAGCCACCAGCAGCCGCAACAGCGAGGUCAUCCAUGCCGGCAUCUACUAUCCUUCCAAUUCUCUCAAGGCUCGUUUUUGUGUGAGAGGAAGAAAAUUACUCUAUCACUACUGCUCUCAGCGUGGGAUACCUCAUAACCAGAUCGGUAAACUCAUAGUUGCCACAGGUACUUCCGAGAUUCCAAAGUUAAAUCAACUGUUCAAUCGUGGGAUUCAAAAUGGGGUUGAAAAUCUUCGGAUGUUGGACGCUUCUGAGGCUAUCAAAAUGGAGCCUGAAUUGCACUGUGUCAAAGCCUUGCUAUCCCCUGCUUCUGGCAUUCUGGAUUCCCAUUCUCUGAUGCUGUCUUUAGUGGGGGAGGCUGAAACUAAUGGCGCUACCUUCUCUUACAACACUGCUGUCAUUGGAGGUCAUCUUGAAGGAAAUCAAAUGGUCCUCCACGUUUGUGAAACCAAAACACUUACAAACUGGGAUGGGAACACUCCAUUGCAACUGGACCUCCUACUUAUGCCUAAAAUUGUAGUCAAUUCUUCAGGCUUGAGUGCUCCCACUCUGGCUAAGAGAUUCCAUGGUCUAAACACAGCUAUCAUCCCUCCUGCAUAUUAUGCUCGUGGCUCCUACUUUAUCCUUUCAAAUGCAAACUCUACUAGACAUCCUCCUUUCAAGCACUUGAUAUAUCCUGUACCAGAGGAAGGUGGUCUUGGAGUUCAUGUUACUCUGGACUUAGAUGGUCAGCUCAAGUUUGGCCCAGAUGUUGAGUGGAUUCCUCAUGUACCUGAUACAACCAACUUCCUUAAUAAGUUUGACUAUUCUGUAAGUGCUGAUCAUGUUGCAAGAUUUUAUCCAGAGAUUCGGAAGUACUACCCAAAUCUCAAAGAUGGAUCUCUAAUACCAGGUUAUGCAGGGAUUCGACCAAAACUUCAUGGACCUGGACAGUCUGCCUGUGAUUUUGUAAUACAGGGAGAAGACAUUCAUGGAGUGGGUGGUCUUGUAAAUCUUUUCGGUAUCGAGUCACCCGGGCUGACUUCAAGCAUGGCGAUUGCUGAAUAUGUAGCUGCUUUACUUUUGGGAGGAUGAUGGAGAUAUUUACUGUACAUUCAAAACAAAGUUGGUGUCUUCCCAUUGCUAUAGGAUAAAAUUUUACAACAAGGGGAGUUAAUGUCCGAUAGGUGAGCUCCAAGCGAUGAUUCAAUAACCAAUAUGAUGGAACAGUAUUCCUCGACAAGUAGAAGAACAUACAUUAUAUUCAAGUUGAUCUGAUGAUCGAUGUCUAUGAUCAGAUGUAAUACCCCUAACUUAUAUAUAUUGUCGGAACAGGGUUACGGAGCAUUAUCGAAGUUUAUAGAUCAAAUACAGUUAAUUUUUAA